rnacentral:misc_RNA from 1 species
CUGAGUUAUCUAACUCCCAAACCAAUGUGAACUUACCACUGUUGCCUCGGCGGCAGUCCUCUGUAACAGGAGGCGGCCGCCGGUGGACUACUAAACUCUUGUUAAUUUUUGUCAUUCUGAAUAACAAACUUAAUUAGUUA